ACUUCCUAAAAAUUAGAGCUGCCCAAAAGUGGAAUGGGGAGCCUCAAGAGGUGGUAGACUCCCCGCUGUGGAAGGUCUUCAAUAAGAGGAUAAUGGGAACUUACAAACUGAUGUGUGAAGAUGAAGGAAGAGGAAGACUACAGUAGAUGAAUUAAAUGUGGCCUGAACUACACAUCUCUGUCUCCUUAGCACAGCUUUUUAACUCUUCCCAAAACUUUCCUCUGCCUUCAAGAACCUAGGAUCACUUUGAUGAGGCAUCAGAAGAGAAUUUCAGCAAAAGAAUAAAUGAUAGGAUUCUUGAUGACACUUGGGAACAAAAUCACCACCACCCCCAAGGUGAAGGAGAAAAUAUAGUUUGGAGGAAAUAAACACCACCACCACCACCCCAAAAUUGAAAGUAGAGAAAAUAUAAUUCGAAGAUAUACAGAUAAAUUUCAUCAGCUAGACUUCUGUGACUAUGUAGAUAUAUCCUAAGAAGAUUUUAUAAGUACAUAGAGGUUAAGUAACUUGUCCAGAGUCACACUGCUAGUACACAUUAGAGGUAGAAUUUUAGUGACAACAACAAGGAUUUAUAUAGUAUUGUAAAGUUUU